rnacentral:rRNA from 1 species
AUUACUCCUACGGGAGGCAGCAGUAGGGAAUCUUCCGCAAUGGGCGAAAGCCUGACGGAGCAAUGCCGCGUGAGUGAUGAAGGUUUUCGGAUCGUAAAGUUCUGUUGCCAGGGAAGAACGCUUGGGAGAGUAACUGCUCUCAAGGUGACGGUACCUGAGAAGAAAGCCCCGGCUAACUACGUGCCAGCAGCCGCGGUAAUAAU